GCGGGUGUGGCGGAAUUGGCAGACGCACCAGACUUAGGAUCUGGCGAAGAGAUUCAUGCAGGUUCAACUCCUGUCACCCGCACCA
rnacentral:tRNA from 1 species